GUUAACAACUAAAAUAUUACAUUAGUGAUGGGUUAACGUUUUACUCACAAACCUUAAAGUUAAAUUACUUAAUUACAAGUUGCCCCAAGUCAGUGCCACGCAAACUUUGUGGAUUGACAUUUUUAUAUUGGGUCCCAUGGCAACAAUUAAUUUCUCCAUUCCACCUGUGAAAUGCCUCUGGAGAAUAGCACGCACUAUUGUAGUGUUCAACUGGGGUCAAAACCAAAUUGUGGCUUCACCUAUAUAAAUAAAACAAUAAUAGAUAAGCCUUCUUUUGUAGAAAAAGAAUGAAGGUUCAUAUUUUCUCCUGAAAAAAUGUUCCUCCUUAGAAACAUUUGAAAAAUUAUUCUGAUCAAAUGUCCAGUGACUUUUAUAAACUUUGCUCCCUAAUUGCAGCAAGAAUGUUUCUUGUUAUGAGUUUUUUUUUUUUUUAAUGGAAUUGCAAGUCAGUUCUUCUGGAAAACAAUUUCCAAGAAACUUUGAUCUAGGGAACUUUCCAGUAACAUUCCAUCACUAACUGACUAGCGAAACAGAACUUCCUCCUUGAGUUAAAAAAAAAAAAAUCAUAUUUUACUUUCUCAAAUCAAUAGCAUUGUGCUGAAUUAAUGAAUCCUAUAUAGUCUUUUAACUAUUAAUAUUGUAUAACUAUUAGCUGCCAUUGACGUGGCUUUACCUUGCCAUGUCUUUAAAAAUACCUUUACAUUUGGCAUUAAACAACUUUCACUGUCUUUUUUCUUCUGUGUUGGAUAUGGCAUUACAAGGCCAUACAAAUAAAUUUGUGGAUUUAAAACAAAUAUAAAAUAUUCUGCUACAAUUUAAAAAAAAAAAAAAAAAGAGUUUUAUCUGGUUUCAACACUAGUUUAGAAAGGGAUAAGCAAAAUAAAAAAGUGAAUGUCAAGGUAGACUUUAUCAUGGCCUCACAAAUGGGCAUACAUCUAUUCACAUGAAUUCACACAGUAUUCCUUCGCAUACUAAGUGCUCUCAGAUGACGUACACAACUACUAUCCUAAAUUUCCAGGUUUCUCUUGCAGAAAAUGAGCAAAUAAAUCUGGAAAACUACAGAAAUUCCAACUAACUACUUCUGCGUAUGUAUGUGUACUAAUGUACUCUUUGCAAUAAACCAGUUGAAUAAACAGUUUUCAAUACAGUUUAUUCCAACACAUUGGAGGUUUUAUUGUCCUGUAAGCUUUGGAAUUGCCCUUCUGUCUGUUGCACACAUUCAUUGACCAAGAGUUCUUGCAUCAUCAAUAUUAAUUGAGAACCUGAACCUAGAGAAGAUCGCGAACCUUCCAGAAAUCAGGCAAAGACAUGUAAUAUUGUCUAAGAAUUUACAAAACAUGGUUCUGAAAUUAGAUCUCAUAUUCUACCGUUAAUAUAUUCUAUUUUUAACAAACAUCUGGAAAAUUAAACUGCUUGUGUGGAUUUUAUGUCGGCUGUGAUGAUCAAGGGAUUGAACAAUACAAAUUCGUAAGUCGACUCUUAUUGGCGUUUGGAACAAUUGUAUCUACCUCUCAGAGGUUUGCAGGUCAAACCUAACAAUAUAACCUCCUUAUUGUGAUUAUUCAAUCUCAAUAUACCUAUGUGUGCACUAUGCACUUUGAACCCUACAAAUCUGGCAAUGCUGGGGGGUGUGAGAAACUUUAACAUUGAGGAGCAUAUGAAUUAGAUGGUUGGAUUGGAUGUUAAAUGAAUUGAACAUGUCAGAACAUCUAGAAACCAUCUCCAAAUAAGCAAAAGAUUUGACUUAACAAAAAAACACAAAAGAUAGACUCUAAUGCUGGAGUAACUCAGCAGGUCAGGCAGCAUCUCUAGACAAAA